UUUGAGGUAGAAUUCAGUAACAAGCUCAAAACCUAUCUUCUACUUAAAAUGGUAAAAAGCUAAAUGCAAUUAUUAGGAAAUCUUUUAGUAGGACUUUCAGUCGAUUUUCAAAUAUUUGGGUGUGCUUGACUGAAAACUAAAAAAAAAAAUAUCCCAACUGUUCUGAAUGUUCUUCCCCUUGUCUUCUAAGGUGUAUUAUGGCAAAUAUUAGUAAUGACUCCUAUACUCUCAAAUAUAAGAGAGGCAUGCAGUGCAGUCUUUUACAUCAAGUUCCUGCAACAGAGACUGUUUGUAACAGAAUUCAAGGCCACCAAAAUACAGAAUGGGUUUUCUUUCUUACUUGAAAUAUGGUUUCAAUCUGGUUGAAUCACCAACCAUUUAAAAUUACUGUUUUCUUUGUCUUUCUAGUACUCCAAAGAGAGCAAUAACAGAAUGCCAAUGACUUUUCUGGGUCAAACUCAUGUCUUCACCAGGGCAAAGGAACAAUACUGGCAUGUGGACAGACUACCUGUGGACAUCAGAGCAUCCUCAGAAAACCCAUGGGAGAAAAGCAGACAGCUGGGCCACAAGCAUACAUUAAAAAUUUCAAAUAUAUUCAGUGUUCUGACCAAUUUAUCAUCAACUUUUUGAGUGGGCAACAGAGAACACAGAAAUUUUACAAUGUAACCCAAGUUUUCUAGCAUAAAAUUACAGAUCCAAGAUAAAGUUUUACAUAAGCUUUGGUUAAGCAUUCAAAGAUAAAUGAGUUGCUCAACUUUUUGAAGAUCACCCACGGCUAAUUAAAGACCUGCCAAGGCUUUACUAACAAUUAAAAACUUGUCUUUAAAAUCCCCAAAGAGGAAAAUGCAAACAGCUGUUUUAAUUAGCAAAACAGCAGAUACUAAUUAGCUUCUGUAACAGAGUAUGCUGGUCCUUUAAGGACAGGACCAGUUUCAGCCCAAGUUUGUUACCCAUUUAAGCUACAAGUAGAAGGAUUGGAAUCAGAUGCUGCAGGAAAAGCUAAUUCCUUGCAAAAUCAGUAUUUCCCAACGUCAAGUACACAAAAGAGAGAUUUUUAUUUUGAGUAAACUUUCAUGUUUUUCCAUCUUUUAGUUUCUUAUCUUUCCAGAACUGAGUUGUGUACAGAUAUCUGAGCAGAAACUGAGAGUACUUGAAAUGUCUUGUGAUGAUCCCAUGGGGAUGAAAAUUGUGACAUCUCACCUUCUGGGCAAAAGGCCACUGGAUCUGGACAGCGUAACACUAAUAUGUGCACAUUUGCACAGCAAGCCCAUGGAGUUCAGGCUGCAUCAAGUCUGCUGUGAAAUCUGAUUUGGGCACCUGAUGUAGAGUUGUUGCAACUGACCACAUCUUUCAAUUCUCCCAAUCUUUGGGACUGGUUCUGAACAACUAAGAAAUCUCAGAUGAAAGAGAAAGGAAUAGAGAGAACAGGAGAGGCUGGAAUUAGCCUUUUGCUAUGUUCAGAUCCUUGGAUAGCAGGAGAUAUGCUCUUACAAGAUAAUCAACAUCCACUGAUUGUCAGUACACUGCCAUUUCUAGAAAUCUGUUUAAAAGCUAAAAAAAAAUAAGUCCCAUCCCAUAAGACCUCUAUGUCUACAGCUAGGCAUUUUGCUAUUAGUGGGGUCAGUUGCUGCAGGCAUGAUUGAUAAUAAACAGGAACAUGCUGCAAAUAGAAGAUAUAAUGUAUAAGUGCCAAAUGUGAGAUUUAAUACAAGAGUUUAAAAAUCAAUCUAUUUUUACUAUCUACACAGAGUGAAAGAGUAACUGAAAAUAUAGGUAUGAAAUAAUAAACUCAAAUAACUACAAAAAUAGUAUAUCAAAUAAGUUUGAUAACAGUGGUAUUAAAUAAUUCUGAUAUAUGUGUUUGAAAACACCAGGCAGUGGUGAAGUCUUUCUUCCAAACAUCUGGAAGACACUUAUCUUUCAGGAGUUGUGUUUGAAAAAUCUAAAACUGUUGUGCUGGUAUUACAACACUGUAGGCCAGUACAGGUCAAUAGGUGUAACUGGAGCAUGACAAAGGCUUCUCUUUUACCACUCUGUGUGUACUGCACAUUUUACAUUCAUUGCUCAGCUACCAAGAGCAGGCAGCAUUAAAACACCACCCUUCAAAAACCAGUCUGGGAUUCUGGUUACUGAAUGGUGCUCUAACGAAAACAAACAACAUUUAUUGAUUAACACAAGGAUUCUAUUAUAUUGACAAAAUAUAGACAUAACUAUGACUGUACCCCCACAAGCAGGACUGUUAAACUCAUUUCUCUCAAAUCUCUAGCAAUAUUAUGGGAUUCAGCUAACCACUAAUACAGUUACCCAGGAACUCAUGUUUCUAUUUCUGCUCACGCUUUCCAUGACAUAUUUCAAUAACUCUGCUGCACCUGGUAAAUGUUUGCUAAAUAUUUUUUUUGUCUUUGUAUAGCAUUUCAACAUCUGAUUUUCAAAACAAGAGGAGGACAUCAUGUUUUCUUUCCCUUUGAGACAACUACUUUGCAGUGGUAAAGGAAAAGAAAAAAAAUCUGCAAAGACUCUGCUAUAUGAAGAUCUUCAGAGUAAAAUACCUACUUCAUAGAAGAAUAAAAGUACUCCAUCAGAAGAAGUUUCAACUUGGAAAAAAAUUAAUCUAAAACAAAUUUAUGGUUAAAAGUCACAUUCUGUACCAUGCAAAGUAAAUUUCUGAAGAAGUAAUAUUUUUGAAGAAUAUAUUUACAGCAUGUUCUCCAUCCAUUCACUCACUAUCCCUAGUCAACCAAAUCACACACUUUGCUUUUUUCCUUUUCUCAAUUCCAUCUUCAUUUUUUUUUUUUAGUUCUGUACAUAAUUAUGCAGUAUCACACAAGUAGUUUCAGUUCUAGAUGAAAUAUUCUACAAAGCUGAAUAUUUCACCUUAGUGAAAUAUUUCAUCUGGAGUAAUACCAGUUUGUAUAGGAUAAACUGUGUAUUAUAACCUACAUUUCUACAUCUGUGAAGUACUCAAAACUAGCACGUGUCUGAAUAUACCCACACAUCAUUUACAGCAGGAGUGGCAGGCCGAGAGAUGUCUUUGUAAAAGAGCAAACCAAAUCCCUCACUCAGUAAAUGGCAAAGCCGAGGGUCCCAUCAGCCUGUCUCCCCACAAGGUACUCAGGAAAACACGAAGCAAAAUCAGCCCAACUGUACCUGGUUGGAAUUGGAACUUCAGCCAGUCCUGUAAGCAGCACUGCAGGAGACAACCUAACAAAAGCCACCACAGCACGGUCCA